rnacentral:rRNA from 1 species
GAUGAACGCUAGCGGCAGGCUUAAUACAUGCAAGUCGAGGGGCAGCAUGGUGUAGCAAUACACUGAUGGCGACCGGCAAACGGGUGCGGAACACGUACAGAACCUUCCUUCGAGCGGGGAAUAGCCCAGAGAAAUUUGGAUUAAUACCCCAUAGUAUAUUGAAAAGGCAUCUUUUUAAUAUUAAAGAUUUAUCACUUGAAGAUGGCUGUGCGGCUGAUUAGGUAGUUGGCGGGGUAACGGCCCACCAAGCCUGCGAUCAGUAACUGGUGUGAGAGCACGACCAGUCACACGGGCACUGAGACACGGGCCCGACUCCUACGGGAGGCAGCAGUAAGGAAUAUUGGUCAAUGGACGAAAGUCUGAACCAGCCAUGCCGCGUGGAGGAUGAAGGUCCUCUGGAUUGUAAACUUCUUUUAUAUAGGACGAAAAAAGGCUUUUCUAAGUCGUCUGACGGUACCAUAUGAAUAAGCACCGGCUAACUCUGUGCCAGCCGCCGCCGUAAGAC